CCCACUGCAUCCCAAAACCAGUCCAACCUGUCUCUGCCUCCCUAACCUGUUCUUCCUCUCAGCCAUCCCUUCCUCCCACCCCAAGCCGCACCCCCAGCUACCUACUAACCUCAUCCCACCUCCUUGACCUGUCCGUCUUCCCUGGACUGACCUUUUCUCUCCUCUCCACCUUCGGUCCGCCUCCCCCUCUCUCCCUAUUUAUUCCAGUUCCCUCUCCCCGUCCCCCUCUCUGAUGAAGGGUCUAGGCCCGAAACGUCAGCUUUUGUGCUCCUGAAAUGCUGCUUGGCCUGCUGUGCUCAUCCAGCCUCACAUUUUAUUAUUUUAGGAGAGAGAGAGCUGUUUUGGUUUGUGAUACAAGAGACGAGGCUGUCUAUGCCUUUCACCCAUCGGUAGCUCUCCUCCUGUCCCUGCCUCUAUGCACACACUCUGCCAGGCAUAGUCUUCCUCCCUCUGUGUGUGUGUGUGUGUGUCUCUCUCUCGCUUCAGCUCCUAAAACCUAAGAUGCAUCGGAUAUAAAAACACGCACAUAAACACACACACACACAUCAACAAGCCAUGGAGAAAGAUCAGGAAUUACUGCAAGCUGUCAAAACCGAAGAUGUAGCUGCAAUGCAGAAGCUGUUGCAAAGGCCGAAACAAGGCAAAGCGAAACCAUACGAUUAGACUGUUUUGAUGAGAAAUUUAAAGAUUACGUGUCCCGUCCGUUUGACUCACAGUUUGGUACCAUAGGUUGGUACGAUCUUCGUUGGAGAAGGAAAAGGGAUGUUCCAGAUACAGAAAACCGUCAAACCAUUUACAACAAAGUCCGUUUCUGAACCAUACGAUGAGACUGUUUUGAUGAGGAAUUGAAAGAUUAUGUGUCCCAUCCAUUUGACUCACAGUUUGGUACCAUAGGUUGGUACGAUCUUCGUUGGAGAAGGAAAAGGGAUGUUCCAGAUACAGAAAAUCGUCAAACCAUUUACGACAAAGUCCGUUUCUGGGUGGAGUUAGUGGAACCGAAAAAGAUGUCUCCCUCACAGCGUUUGUGACAAAAGAAUUGCAUCGUUCCUUGGCGAC